AUAGUGAUAACACGAUCUGCGAGCUGCCGCGAGCAUGGACAAUAUAAGAAUUCUUAUAUUAUCUAUGGCCGCGAAUCACGAUUGCCUCGUUCUUCGACGGCUCGACGCACAGAAAGUCAAAAAUUAUAUUCCAUACUCGCUUCUACCUAUAUUUAUGUACAUUGUUAUAGACUGAUAUCUGUGCUCCGAUAAUUAUCCAUUAUUAACUAUCAUUUAGUUACGCAUCGCUGUUCAAUAGUAGUCACUGGAUACAAGUCAACAGGGGUGUGAUUGCGAUUCAACCAUAAACCCCGUACUUAGUGAUAUUUUAUAAUAUACAUCAUACAAGCACGAACCUCUGAUCAUUGUCGUCCAUGCGCAUCCAACAACUGAAGGUAACGACCACCAGCCUCGACUCUGGCCUCCAUCGUCUAGUGUUACGCAGACUCCUCGUCAGUCACCAUGUCAAAUGAUCUGAACCGGCUUCAACUGCUGGAGAGUGUAUUCAACAGAGUGACUGAGUUUGCACGGACUGUACGCAGCAUACGGGCCACCAUCAGAGAGUGUGUUGAACUGCAUGAGAGACUGUUGGAGUCCAUCGGUCGCAUCCUGUCACUGUUGCAGCUCAUACGUGAUGGUCUCGUUGGACAUACGUCCGGACUGACAAAUGGACGGUCGAAGGGUUGACAGAUGGUUGAUACUAACCCAGGUCAAUCAUCAAUAUAAGUCUUCCAGAGAUCUCAAUCGAAUAACUAGGUACAUUAUUAUUUGUCCCUAUAGGUAGAGGACUUCAUAAUAUAUAUUUUUUUUUUCUUAAUUAGUAUUUUUCGAGUGUCUGCGUUCUUUGAGCACAAUUUCUCUAUCAGAUAAUGUUUGAAUGAGAUUUGUUGAUCCUGAAAACUUAUGAAAAUAUCAUAUUUUAUGUCUGUGAUAUAAAUCUGUUCUUAUCUUUAAUAACCCUUGUACAUCGUUCAAAUGUGUCUUACAGAAUUAUUAUCAUCCAAUCAUAAUUGUUUAACAAAAUGUUAUUUACAGGGUUUGUUACAAUAAUUUAUAGUAUCCCAACUCAAAAUAUUUAUAUAUUACCUAAAGCAUAUUCUUGCAUUCAAAUAUUUUUUUAAUUAAUAUGUAAUGUUAUCUAUUUAUAUUAUUUAAGUAUAAUUUUCUAAUAUAUUUCUUCUCAAAACUGGAUCAUAGUACAAGUUUCAUGAACAAAAUAAAGUUGUGGGAGUGCACAAAUACAUUUGU
rnacentral:lncRNA from 1 species